rnacentral:rRNA from 1 species
GUGCCAGCAGCCGCGGUAAUACAGAGGGUGCGAGCGUUAAUCGGAAUUACUGGGCGUAAAGCGAACGUAGGUGGUUUUGCAAGUCGAGUGUGAAAGCCCCGGGCUCAACCUGGGAACUGCAUUCGAGACUGCAUUACUCGAGUAUGGGAGAGGGCAGUGGAAUUUCCGGUGUAGCGGUGAAAUGCGUAGAUAUCGGAAGGAACAUCAGUGGCGAAAGCGACUGCCUGGCCCAAUACUGACACUCAAGUUCGAAAGCGUGGGGAGCAAACAGGAUUAGAUACCCCCGUAGUCC